AUUGAACGCUGGCGGCAGGCUGAAGAAAUGCAAGACGAGCGAGCGGCGGACGGGUGAGUAAUGUCUGGGAAACUGCCUGAUGGAGGGGGAUAACUACUGGAAACGGUAGCUAAUACCGCAUACCAUCAGAUGUGCCCAGAUGGGAUUAGCUAGUAGGUGGGGUAAUGGCUCACAUAGGCGACGAUCCCUAGCUGGUCUGAGAGGAUGACCAGCAACACUGGAACUGAGACACGGUCCAGACUCCUACGGGAGGCAGCAGUGGGGAAGAUUGCACAAUGGGCGCAAGCCUGAUGCAGCCAUGCCGCGUGUGUGAAGAAGGCCUUCGGGUUGUAAAGCACUUUCAGCGAGGAGGCGUUACUCGCAGAAGAAGCACCGGCUACCUCCGUUCCAGCAGCCGCGGUAAUAC
rnacentral:rRNA from 1 species